CAGAGAUAUCAACACACUUCCCAAAGAAGGGCCAGCAAGAAAUGUGCAUGUCUGCACAGUGCAGAUGAACCCAAUCAAUCUCUGGCUGUGCCUGACCUACAUGUGACACUUCUGAGCAGAUGUGCAUCGGGAUAUAACAGAUGAGAGAAUGCCAGCCUCUGCCAAAAGGACUCCACACAUAUUGGGAGGGAUGAAUACCAAUAAAUCAGGAUCAGAUGGGAUUCAUUGUACAGCUUUUUCAGAGUAGAGAAACAGUUGAAUUAUUUUAUCUAUUAAAUGAAUCGAUAAAAGAUUUAA